rnacentral:rRNA from 1 species
GAUGAACGCUGGCGGCGUGCUUAACACAUGCAAGUCGAACGAUGAUCCGGUGCUUGCGCCGGGGAUUAGUGGCGAACGGGUGAGUAACACGUGAGUAACCUGCCCUUGACUCUGGGAUAAGCCUGGGAAACUGGGUCUAAUACCGGAUAUGACUCCUCAUCGCAUGGCGGGGGGUGGAAAGCUUUUGCGGUUUUGGAUGGACUCGCGGCCUAUCAGCUUGUUGGUGAGGUAAUGGCUUACCAAGGCGACGACGGGUAGCCGGCCUGAGAGGGGGACCGGCCACACUGGGACUGAGACACGGCCCAGACUCCUACGGGAGGCAGCAGUGGGGAAUAUUGCACAAUGGGCGCAAGCCUGAUGCAGCGACGCCGCGUGAGGGAUGACGGCCUUCGGGUUGUAAACCUCUUUCAGUAGGGAAGAAGCGAAGGUGACGGUACCUGCAGAAGAAGCGCCGGCUAACUACGUGCCAGCAGCCGCCGUAACAC